UUGGGUAUGGAGCUUAGUGGUAGAUUAGUUGUCUAGCAUGCCCAAGGCUCUGGGUUCCAUCCCCAGUACUGAAA
rnacentral:tRNA from 1 species